UUCCGGUUGAUCCCGCCGGACCUUACUGCUAUCGGGGUGGGACUAAGACAUGCGAGUCGAGCGUCUCUAGCUAUGUUGAGACGCGGCAUACGGCUCAGUAACACGUGGCUAACCUACCCUCAGGACGGGGACAAACCCGGGAAACUGGGGCUAAUAUCCGAUAGGCGAGGAAUCCUGGAAUGGUUCUUCACCCAAAGGACAUUGGAAACAUGCUUUCUCUGUCGCCUGGGGAUGGGGCCGCGACCGAUCAGGUUGUUGGUGAGGUAAUGGCUCACCAAGCCUAUAACCGGUACGGGCCGUGAGAGCGGUAGCCCGGAGAUGGGUACUGAGACAAGGACCCAGGCCCUACGGGGCGCAGCAGUCGCGAAAACUCCGCAAUGCACGAAAGUGUGACGGGGCUACCCCGAGUGCCAUCCGCUGAGGAUGGCUUUUCCUUGGUAUAACUAGCCAGGGGAAUAAGGAGAGGGCAAGACUGGUGUCAGCCGCCGCGGUAAUACCAGCUCUCCGAGUGGUAGGGAUGAUUAUUGGGCUUAAAGCGUCCGUAGCCGGCUUAGCAAGUCUCCUGUUAAAUUCUGCGACUUAAUCGUUGAGCCGCGGGAGAUACUACUAGGCUAGGAGGCGGGAGAGGUCGACGGUACUUCUGGGGUAGGGGUGAAAUCCUAUAAUCCCAGGAGGACCACCAGUGGCGAAGGCUGUUGACUAGAACGCGCUCGACGGUGAGGGACGAAAGCUGGGGGAGCGAACCGGAUUAGAUACCCGGGUAGUCCCAGCUGUAAACGAUGCGGGCUAGGUGUUGGGGUGGCUACGUGCCACUUCAGUGCCGCAGGGAAGCCAUUAAGCCCGCCGCCUGGGGAGUACGGCCGCAAGGCUGAAACUUAAAGGAUUUGGCGGGGGAGCACCACAAGGCGUG
rnacentral:rRNA from 1 species